UCAUAAACAACCAGGAUGUUGGCUCAGAAGCAGCCACCAUUUAAAGAGUGCGUAAUAGCUCACUGGUCGAGAGACGCUGCGCCGAAAAUGUCCGGGGCUCAAGCACGGAACCGAAGCUAUGGCAUUGCGUAAGCAAUGGGUAGGGGAGCGUUCUUAUGGGGAAGAAGCAUUACCGUAAGGAGAUGUGGACACAUAAGAAGUGAGAAUGCCGGUAUGAGUAUCGAAAAGAAAGGUGAGAAUCCUUUCCACCGAAAGCCCGAGGGUUCCUGAGCAACGAUCGUCGUCUCAGGGUAAGUCGGGACCUAAGCCGAGGCACAGACGCAUAGGCGAUGGACAACAGGUUGAAAUUCCUGUACCGGAUGGAGUCAUUUGAGCAAUGGAGUGACGCAGGAGGGCACAUGAUCGCGCGACUGGAAGAGCGCGUCCAAGUGCGUAUGUUGAAUCGGAGGCAAAUCCCCGAUUCUGAAAGCAGAGACAUGAUGGGGAGUUAUAAGCGAUUAUGACGAACUCAUGGAUCCCACACUGCCAAGAAAAACUUCUAGCGAGACGAAAUCCGCCCGUACCGUAAACCGACACAGGUAGGCGGGGAGAGAAUCCUAAGGUGCGCGGGAAAACCCUCGUUAAGGAACUCGGCAAAUUGCAUCCGUAACUUCGGGAGAAGGAUGGCCCUGAGUAGGCGAAGUGCAGAAACGCACGGAACAGAAAAGGGUGGCAGAAAAGAGGCCCAAGCAACUGUUUACCAAAAACACAGGUGCCUGCGAAAGCGAAAGCUGAAGUAUAGGUGCUGACGCCUGCCCGGUGCUGGAAGGUUAAGGAGAGAGGUUAGCGCAAGCGAAGCUUUGAACUGAAGCCCCAGUGAACGGCGGCCGUAACUAUAACGGUCCUAAGGUAGCGAAAUUCCUUGUCGGGUAAGUUCCGACCCGCACGAAAGGUGUAACGAUUUGGGCACUGUCUCAACGAGGGACCCGGUGAAAUUGAAAUACCUGUGAAGAUGCAGGUUACCCGCGACUGGACAGAAAGACCCCAUGGAGCUUUACUGUAACCUAAUAUUGGGUUCUGAUAUUCGACGCACAGGAUAGGUGGGAGGCUUGGAGCAUGGUCCUCUGGGAUCAUGGGAGCCGCCGUUGGGAUACCACCCUUCGAAUAUCGGGAUUCUAACCGCAGGAGCAACGAUCCUCGGGACAGUGUUAGGCGGGCAGUUUGACUGGGGCGGUCGCCUCCUAAAGGGUAACGGAGGCGCCCAAAGGUUCCCUCAGCGCGGACGGAAACCGCGCGACGAGUGUAAAGGCAGAAGGGAGCUUGACUGCGAGCCAAACACGGCGAGCAGGUACGAAAGUAGGGCUUAGUGAUCCGGUGGCAUCCAAGUGGAAGGGCCAUCGCUCAACGGAUAAAAGCUACCCUGGGGAUAACAGGCUAAUCUCUCCCAAGAGUCCAUAUCGACGGGGAGGUUUGGCACCUCGAUGUCGGCUCAUCACAUCCUGGGGCUGAAGUCGGUCCCAAGGGCUGGGCUGUUCGCCCAUUAAAGUGGUACGUGAGCUGGGUUCAGAACGUCGUGAGACAGUUCGGUCCCUAUCCAUCGCGGGCGUAA
rnacentral:rRNA from 1 species